rnacentral:rRNA from 1 species
UGGGGAAUAUUCGGCAAUGGGCGAAAGCCUGACCGAGCCAUGCCGCGUGAGUGAUGAAGGCCUUAGGGUUGUAAAGCUCUUUCAACGGGGAAGAUAAUGACGGUACCCGUAGAAGAAGCCCCGGCUAACUUCGUGCCAGCAGCCGCGGUAAUACGAAGGGGGCUAGCGUUGUUCGGAAUUACUGGGCGUAAAGCGCACGUAGGCGGCUUGUUAAGUCGGGGGUGAAAUCCCGGGGCUCAACCCCGGAACUGCCCUCGAUACUGGCAAGCUAGAGUCCGGAAGAGGUGAGUGGAAUACCGAGUGUAGAGGUGAAAUUCGUAGAUAUUCGGUGGAACACCAGUGGCGAAGGCGGCUCACUGGUCCGGUACUGACGCUGAGGUGCGAAAGCGUGGGGAGCAAACAGGAUUAGAUACCCCCGUAGUCC